rnacentral:rRNA from 1 species
ACGGGGGGUGCAAGCGUUGUUCGGAAUUAUUGGGCGUAAAGAGCGUGUAGGCGGCCGGAUGUGUCAGAUGUGAAAGCCCUGGGCUCAACCCAGGAAGUGCAUUUGAAACUAUCCGGCUUGAGUAGGGGAGAGGGAAGUGGAAUUCCUGGUGUAGAGGUGAAAUUCGUAGAUAUCAGGAGGAACACCGGUGGCGAAGGCGACUUCCUGGCCCUAUACUGACGCUGAGACGCGAGAGCGUGGGUAGCAAACAGGAUUAGAUACCCUGGUAGUCCACGCCGUAAACGAUGUUCACUAGGUGUUGGGGGUAUUGACCCCCUCAGUGCCGGAGCUAACGCAUUAAGUGAACCGCCUGGGGAGUACGGUCGCAAGACUA